UUGCAUGCUGCAUUCCCCAACAAUCGGAUCUCAACAAAUGCACUGCAAAAGAAGAUUUCAUCGGAUAGAACUCCAACAACAUCGGGGAGAACAUUGUAUUGAAGAUCAAAGAGAAAGAAGAAGCCAUCUAGAUACUAGCUACAGACCCUUAGGUCCAUGGUAAACUACUCACGCUAUAUCGGAAGGGCAGCAAGGUUGAUUUAGAGGCCCUCCGUGAUCGAAUCCCCCUCCGACGGAGUGCCGGAAAAGGCCCCAAGAUGGGAUCUAACAGGAACAGAAGCUUGCGGCAGCGCCGCAAGUAUUUUUGGUGUGCCCUCUGGUAUAGGUGGAAUAUAUGAGGAUUUAUAGUGCAGAGAUUAGGUCAAGACGGUCCACAAGGGGCCCACAAGCUAGGUGGCGCGCCCCCACGUCUUGUGGCCGCUUCCUAGCUCUUCUGGCCUCCUCUCCAAGUAUUGUGGGUUUCUUCUGGUCCAAGAAAUAUGACCGUAAAGUUUUAUUUCGUUUGGACUCUGCUUGAUAUUCCUUUUCUGUAAAAGUCAAAAAUAAGGAAAACAUAAACUAGCACUGGGCUCUAGGUUAAUAGGUUAUUAGAAAAAUAAUAUCAAAUAGCAUAUUAAUGCAUAUAAGACAUCUAAAACAGAUAAUAUAAUAGCAUGGAACAAUAAAAAAAUUAUAGAUACGUUGGAGACAUAUCAGGCCACGACAAGGAGAUGGAGCCGCGCGGGAGAUCACAGAAGGAGUCGAGCAGGAUUACCAUAUACAACGAUCAACACAUAUUAUAUAUGGAUUAACAUAAUGGGUAGUGAGAAGUAUACAUGACUAAAAAGAAAUUAUCAUAAUGGGCAGUGAGAAGUAUACAUGACUAAAAGGAAAUUAUCAUAAUGGGCAGUGAGCAUCGCGGAAGGUGUCCUGAAGAAUACCUAUAAAGGGGAGUGAGCAUCAUGUACACAUCUCCAUCUUCUUCCACAUAUACCACUAGUGCUGAGCCGCCUUUUGAAAGAAGCCGGCGGUGCUGUCCGUCAUGCAAUGAUAGUCCAGCGAGCGGUGUCUCCGUGACUCCGGCCACAUCCUUCGACCCUGCACGAAGGCAGUCUAGAGUUUUAUGGGCAGCACCGCGUGACCGCUCUUUGCUCGACGUCCUCGAUGACAUCGUCUCUGAUGACCGCUGCUUCCUCGACGUCCCUGACGACAUCGAGUCCAGCGACAGCUGCUUCCUCGACGUCCUCGACGAGAUCGUCCCCAGCAAACUCCAUCGACAAACACCAGUGCAGUGACGUCUAGACUGUAAGUUGCAUCUAGUCAUUCCUAGUACUAUAUAAAUCUAUGCAUGUUGUAGCCAAUUCUAUAUCAGGUUUAUCUAGUGUUUAUAGACUGUUUUCUGUUCCUACUACUAGUGGACUCAGCCGUGUCCUCUGUGUAUGGUAGACUCUAUCUCCAUGUUAAUCUGCCUAUACUACUACUUUGCUACCACUAGUAUGGUAGAUAGUCCUAGCUCUUCACGUAAUGUUUUUAUUUGCAUGCUAAUUAUACAUGGAUGGGUGCUAUCAAUCUGCUCAUUUCUGAAUCUGGGAUGCAUGCUUCAGAAGAAAACCAUGUGCAUGUUUAAUCUGCUCCUGUACGUACUAAUUAAAGGAAUUAAAUUAAUGAAUAAUUGUAUAUCACUUCUAACAACACUAUGAAUCUGGGUAUAUGCCAGUCACGCUGUCCCCUAGAUUUGCAUAACAAAGCAGAGCAUCAAUCAAUUAUUAGGAAAAAUAAACAGAGAAAGAGGAAGAGACCUUGUGUGGAAAUUAUGGUGGUCUACAGCUCGUCGGGCUAGGGCGUGAGCUCGUCUUCAUCCUCAUCAUCCUCUGCUAUUCCACUAGCAACAUUGGAGCCGCGCCGGUGACGGAGGCGACGCCGUGCCGAAAACCCUAGCCAUGGGGAGGGUUUGGGCACAAGCUAUGGAGACAGGGAGUGACGGAUCUGGCCGGAGUAGACGGCACAACAGAGGGAGGCGAGCUCGGGGAUGUGCUGCAUGCCGGCCAUGGACACUAUACCUGGAUAGAAUUGACCGUUGUUUGUGGCUGCAGAGAGGGAUCUCUUGGGAGAGAGAUGGAGAGUGAGAGGGCUCGUGGGAGGGAGAGAGGGUUGGGUGUUUCAUGGGGGAGGAUUCGAGAGCUGCCUGAGGUGAGGGAGGGGAGGGGAAGCGCGGCCGGCCGGCGGAGAGCUGCGAGAAGGCG
rnacentral:lncRNA from 1 species